GGGCCAGUAAUGGUUUCGACAGGGGUUUUGCACCUUUAGAAGCUAUCCGUCCGUGACGCGUCAGUUCGCAAACUUAAAUAUAAACGCUGAUAAUAAAUUAGCAUUCGCUGCCUAAUCGCAGCGUGUCCGUGAUAUCAGUACCUGUCUUGAUAUCUUAGGGCAUCAUUUACUGACAGGAAACGACGAAGAGGUUGACUCGACUCUUCGGGCGUAUUUAGAGCCUACCAAGUCAGAUUGAUUGUCAAUCAUCUGUUUGAUGAGGGAAUGCCUAAUGAUUGACUGUGAUAGGAGAAGGAGAGGGAAUCUGCUUUUGGACACGGGUUCGACUCCCGUCUGGUCCAUAA
rnacentral:tmRNA from 1 species